rnacentral:rRNA from 1 species
GAUCCUGGCUCAGAAUCAACGCUGGCGGCGCGCCUAACACAUGCAAGUCGAACGAGAAAGCAGGAGCAAUCCUGUGAGUAAAGUGGCGUACGGGUGAGUAACACGUGGAUCAUCUACCCUCUUGUGGGGGAUAACCCUGGGAAACCGGGGCUAAUACCGCAUAAGCUCGAGAGAGGAAAGCAGCAAUGCGCAGGAGGAGGAGUCCGCGGCCGAUUAGCUAGUUGGUAGGGUAAAAGCCUACCAAGGCAACGAUCGGUAGCCGGCCUGGGAGGGCACACGGCCACACUGGCACUGAAACACGGGCCAGACUCCUACGGGAGGCAGCAGUGGGGAAUCUUGCACAAUGGGGGCAACCCUGAUGCAGCGACGCCGCGUGAGCGAUGAAGCCCUUCGGGGUGUAAAGCUCUUUCGGCAGGGAAGAUUAUGACGGUACCUGCAGAAGCAGCUGCGGCUAACUACGUGCCAGCAGCCGCGGUAAUACGUAGGCAGCAAGCGUUGUUCGGAGUUACUGGGCGUAAAGGGUGUGUAGGCGGUUCUUUAAGUUUGGUGUGAAAUCUCCCGGCUCAACUGGGAGGGUGCGCCGAAAACUGGAGAGCUAGAGUGCGGGAUGGGAGAGUGGAAUUCCUGGUGUAGCGGUGAAAUGCGUAGAUAUCAGGAGGAACAUCGGUGGUGUAGACGGCUCUCUGGACC